CGUGUAGGUGGAUCUCUCAGUCGAUGGUGAAAUCCUGCAGCUUAACUGCAGAACUGCCGUCGAUACUGGAGAUCUUGAGUACGGCAGAGGGAGAUGGAAUUCAUGGUGUAGCGGUGAAAUGUGUAGAUAUCAUGAAGAACACCGGUAGCGAAGGCGGUCUCCUGGUCCGUAACUGACACUGAGGCGCGAAAGCGUGGGAGCAAACA
rnacentral:rRNA from 1 species